UCUUUCUUUUGUCUGACGACCGGCGCACGGGUGAGUAACACGUAUCCAACCUGCCCUUUACUCGGGGAUAGCCUUUCGAAAGAAAGAUUAAUACCCGAUAGCAUAAUGAUUCCGCAUGGUUUCAUUAUUAAAGGAUUCCGGUAAAGGAUGGGGAUGCGUUCCAUUAGGUUGUUGGUGGGGUAACGGCCCACCAAGCCUUCGAUGGAUAGGGGUUCUGAGAGGAAGGUCCCCCACAUUGGAACUGAGACACGGUCCAA
rnacentral:rRNA from 1 species